rnacentral:rRNA from 1 species
AGUGAACGCUAGCGGUAGGCCUAACACAUGCAAGCCGAACGGCAGCACAGUAAGAGCUUGCUCUUACGGGUGGCGAGUGGCGGACGGGUGAGGAAUACAUCGGAAUCUACUUUUUCGUGGGGGAUAACGUAGGGAAACUUACGCUAAUACCGCAUACGACCUACGGGUGAAAGCAGGGGAUCUUCGGACCUUGCGCGAUUGAAUGAGCCGAUGUCGGAUUAGCUAGUUGGCGGGGUAAAGGCCCACCAAGGCGACGAUCCGUAGCUGGUCUGAGAGGAUGAUCAGCCACACUGGAACUGAGACACGGUCCAGACUCCUACGGGAGGCAGCAGUGGGGAAUAUUGGACAAUGGGCGCAAGCCUGAUCCAGCCAUACCGCGUGGGUGAAGAAGGCCUUCGGGUUGUAAAGCCCUUUUGUUGGGAAAGAAAAGCAGCAGGUUAAUACCCCGCUGUUCUGACGGUACCCAAAGAAUAAGCACCGGCUAACUUCGUG